rnacentral:lncRNA from 1 species
UGGGGGUCGGGUGGGAAGGGAGGGUGGGGUGGGGGGCGGGGGUCACCACAAGCCCAUUCACCGGCUCCCUCCGGGCGGGCGCUCGGGCUCCUUUCCUCCCUUCUUCCCUGCCUUCCACCCUAAGGUGCUGCUGGCGGCGCGGCGGUUGCUCUCUGGCGGCGGGGAGGGACCCCGGGGGGCAGCUAGGAGCGCGGCUGGUGCUCGGGCGGCGGAGGGAGGAAAGAAGGGAGGCAGUAAGUGAGCGGCGCCUCGCGGGGAGGGAGAGAGGGCGGGAGGAAGGCGGAGGGAUAUUCGGUCCGGACCUCUCCCCGGCAGCACCGCGCUCCACAGCAAUUGGUUUCCGCCGUGGCCACACGGAAUCCCCAAUUGGCCAGUCGGCCGGCGUUGAAGGGGCGCCCUGUGCCCAUUCGCCCGCGGGUUUCAAGGACCCGGGUUGGCUAGGGCAGAGGAAUGGGGCGCGCAGAUUGGCCGAAGGGAGGGACGUUGGGGUGGGGCAGGUGAGAGCCGGCCGCUGAUUGGGUGAGCCUGGCAAGGGUCUUGGGCUCAGACGGGCUGAGCGCGAGGAGGGUGGUGGGCCGGAGGUAAAGCUCAGAGCUCUCGUGAUUGGCUGGGGUCCUGGACGUUGAUAGGUCAGGGCGCCGGGGAGGACUGAGGAGAGGAGUUCGGUCGGGGUCGGGGCGUGCAAAGGCAGAAGACGCCCCGCCGCUUUCGGAGUCUGGCGCGGGGCACGCCGGGACGCCCCGGGAAAGGGCGGAGCUGAGCGCCGGCUGCAGUCCGGACGGCAGCGUCACUGCGGGCGUGCGGAGCGAAGUUUCGCGGGCCUGCGCGGGAAGGGACCGUUAAAAUCUGGGGCCGCGCCCACCGGAAGCGACUGAAUGGCGAGGUCGCCUUGGUAACAGGCCUUUGGCUGGAAGGACCUUGAAGGCCACGUGAUUCGACUUACAGUGUGCGGUGGGAACUCUGACGCCCAGAGAGGGUAUGGAACUGAUCCAAGGUCACACAGCCGGGUCUCACCAUGUAGUGCAAGCUGGCCUUGAACUCACUGUGUAGCCCAGGCUGGCCUUGGGCUUGGCAGCGAUCCUGCACCCUCAGCCUCCCACGUGCUGGGAUUAGGCACCACCACGCCCAGCAAAAGCCACUUAAUGCCUAUAAAGAAGAUUGUGCCUACAGUUAUUUGACUUCCCCAGAAGCAGGUACAUGGGCUCCAGAGAAAAGGCUGCAUUUCAGUCGUACUCUGGCAUCCCUGCUGUUUGAUCAUCUGAAAGCCACCUAAGCUUCGCAUGUGAGAGCUGGAAAGUCUGUGUCUAAAUACGAGCCCCUCAGGAAAGAUGCGAUCCCGAAGGUGCUAAGCUGUGCAGCCCCCAACCCCAGCCCUGGGAGUAGUCGCAGAGCCAAGGGACCAGAAGAGGAGGGGUUCAGCCCUGGCCUCACUGGCACCGAGGAAGCAUGGAGUGAGUGUGACACCCAGAGGACUGAGUCACCUGCUUGGGGACAGGGCAAACCGCACUGCUGUUUCCACACGACACUUCUUCCAAAAGAAUUUAGGCAAGUGAAAGCAUUCAGAGAAAAGCAGGAAGAUUUACUGCACUUUCCACUCCCAAAGCCCAGGACCUUCACACUGAGCUACAUUGCCAGCCCUUUUCAUUUACUUAGAGACAUCUCUCCAAGUUGCUGGCUUUGAUCCUCCUGUCUCAGCCUCCAGAGUGCUGGGAUUACAGAUGUGCACCCGACACCCAACUUGCAGCACUUUUUGACUAUUUAUGGACUGGAAAACCAUUUGGAUGUCAAGCCCUCCCUGUCUGGGUGUAGCUUGACACCACUGCCACCCGGCUCCCUCUUUAUUGCUUCCUCAGUUUACUCGGCUCUCCAUGGGCUUGCUGCCUUGCUCCCAGAGUCUUGACAUGGUCACUUCUCUGUUUAACUCCUUGUGGACAUGACCACCUGCUCCGCAACCUAAGUCUGGGACAUGGCUCCGUGGUAGAGCCCUUUCCUAGUGAGCUUGAAGGCCCAGGUUUGGUCCCCAGUACCACAAAACAACAAAGACAGAAAUACAGUACUCCUCUGGUGGCAUGCAUAGUGGCACACACCUGCUGAGCAGGAGGAUCACUGAGUUCAAGGCCAUCUGGACUGCAUAGCGAGAACCUGUCUCCAAAAAUAAAAUAAAUACUAGAGAUAAUAAAGAGUUGAUCCACAUAAAUUUCUUAGAGUCAUGAAGGCUUAACUUUGUUUUUCAGUACUGGGGAUUGAACCCCAGGGCCUUUGCACUGAGCUACAUUACUGCUGUAAUUCUAGUUAGGGAUUAGAAAUGAUGCUGAGGAGGGCCGGGGAUUUAGCUCAGUGGUGCCACCACCUGCCUCACAAGCACAAGUUCCUGAAUUCAAUCCUCGGUACAAAAAAAAAAAUAGAAAUGAUGCUGGG